UUUAGCUGGCAAUUAAUAAUAAUAAAAAAAAUUGCAAACAUAUUACGUAUACAAAAAAGUGAUUAUAAUACGCGCAAUAAAACAAAACGCAGAGUGGAAUGAUUAUUAAAAAAUUUACCAUCAAAUAUCAAGACACACUUUAGUUUCGAAUAAAAAAAUAAAAAACCGUCAAAUAUCGAAAUGGAUAAUAACAUAAAAAAACUGCUAAAAUUCAAUAGCAAAAAGAUAUAGAAUAAAAUGUAGAGCUCAAUUGUAUUUUUCAAAAGAGUUACCUAUCAUUAUUGUAAGUCGUAGCUCAUUUCUGUGAAAUGCAAAUCUGAUUUAAUCAUACGCGUUUAAGAUGGCAGUGAAAAUUAUAAGCAUAUUAUGUUUGAUGCUAUCCUACUUUUUGGCAAGUGUACUGGGUGAACUGAAAAUAACUAAAAAGCAGUUUGCUGAUUUUAAAGGGUCAAAUCCAACAAACUACUGUGGAGAUUGUGAACACGUGCAACGCGUGUGCAAUUUGGUCGGUAAACGUACAGGAAAAACUGAUGGGAACAAAAAAUUCAAACCCGGAUACCCAUCAUGCGUGAUGGGAUACAUUGUUGUACAGAAAGAUUGCGGCGAAGGAACAACUAUAAAAAGGGCCCCAGUAAUUACUUGUAUAUGGACUGAUGCAGAAGUACUGGUAAUCGGUAAGGGUCAAACUAAGAAACAUGUGAUGAUUUAUAAUGUUGACAAUGAUAAAAACUGUGUGCCUGAUAAGGAUGUAGUGUUUUUAACAGACAAUUGUACAACUGACGAUAAGAACUAGUUGAAAAUUGUUCGCUUAUAUAGUAAAUGAUUAUCUAAUUUUGCUAAACUUUAAUUUAUAAUUAAAUGUAAUUAGUUACCUAGGUACAUAGUAGGGUGCCUUUUUUUUUCAAUCCCACCCCUCAAAGUUAUUCCAUUUGGUGAGAAAAUCAUUCCUGAAUUUUCGUUUUUGCCCUUCGUGAAAAAAGUGGUGCCCGAUUGCCCCCCCCCCCCGUUUCCAAAAAAAAAUAAAAAAUGAUACAAAAUUUUAUUGUUUUUAUUCUACUUUAUCUCACCCAAUAUUCCCUUUUUGAACCAAAACGGCCCCCAAAAGUUUGUAUACCCUCCCCUACAAGAAAAUUCAAUGAAAACUGGGAGGGAAUUCAAAUUUACUAUCUCGGUAAGUACAUAUAUGUAUAGAAUUGUAAUACGUUGAGUCGUUGAUGCUUUUGUCUUGUAAUGAUUAUUUAAUUUUUAUGCUAAAAUUUAAAUAAAAUUUCAAAAAAUCUGAA